rnacentral:rRNA from 1 species
UACGUAGGGGGCAAGCGUUGUCCGGAAUUACUGGGCGUAAAGAGCACGCAGGCGGUUCGUUAAGUCGGCUGUGAAAUUCCCUGGCUCAACUAGGGAGGGUCAGCCGAUACUGGCGGGCUUGAGGGAGGCAGAGGAAAGCGGAAUUCCCGGAGUAGUGGUGAAAUGCGUAGAUACCGGGAGGAACACCAGUGGCGAAGGCGGCUUUCUGGGCUUUUCCUGACGCUGAGGUGCGAGAGCGUGGGGAGCGAAC